CACCCGCAGCUCGAGUGGUGGUCACUUUUAUUGAGCCUAAAGCGUCCGUAGCCGGUUACGUAAAUCUUCAGGUAAAUUCUUCCGCUUAACGGAAGACCGUCUGGAGAGACUGCGUGACUUGGGACCGGGUGAGGUUGAACGUACUUCUGGGGUAGGGGUAAAAUCCUGUAAUCCUGGAAGGACGACCGGUGGCGAAAGCGUUCAACUAGAACGGAUCCGACGGUGAGGGACGAAGGCUAGGGGAGCAAACCGG
rnacentral:rRNA from 1 species